UCCAAAGGGAUUGAAUACUUCGAGCAGUCCUUAGACUCGCAGUUUAACGAGUCUAAAUAGUUUGAACCUAUGACCACUGCGUAUAGACACAUAAAGCCACACAUUGGCUCUCAUAAUGGCAAAUUUCCUCUUUGAUACGCACCUGCAGGGAAUCAUGGUAACUUUAUCGACAAAAUAGAUUAUGAAUUCAACUACCAUGAUUCCCAGCACGCUCUUCUAUUCAGGUGGCAAGGCAUCACACAGGUUACUAUGAGGUAACGUGAAGGAUCUAGGAACGAUGUUAGUCAUCAGUUCAAAUCCUGCGCGCAUGUUUUUACCAGCCAUACAAAUAGAAGUAGAAGGUCUGUGAAAGACUAUUGCAGCCGGGGAGAAGCGGUGGACGAAUAUGUGGUUAGCGCGCUGGACUCGGCUUCGUUUGAACCAAGAGCCGGGGUCCUCACGUUGUGUUUUUGAAUCUAAGAGAAGAAUAAAAACUCCUAGUUUCUCCAUGCUGUAGAAACCUAAGCGGGAAUAAGCAAGCUUACAAUAUUCCUGCUUAUAACAGCUUCAACCUGAGUGCCAUCACUUUAUGAAUGUGAUCGUGGAUCUGGACGGGAUUUGAGCCAAGUGGUGGCGCCUGGAAAGAGCUGGAUGGAGGAUCUGGCCCGAGGUGUGCAUUGCACCAGCCGACAGAGCCGGCUGGCAGCAGAGUGUGUAUUUCCGCCCUUGGUAUGUGGUCAUAAUAAACAAACUUUACAUAGCUUCAGACUAUCACAGCCUUGUAAACAUAUUUUCAGCUCAUUUUUUUUCCAGCAGCAUAGAAUUCCUCGAGAAGAAUGGGAUCAGUGGAGAGACUCAUGCCAAAACUUCUUGCUCAAUCGAAACAACUGGUAAUAACAAAUUCUAUCUCGCUCAUUGAGUCAUUAUACAAGUCAUUGAUUUUUAGCCUAUCAUACGGGAAUUUACCCCUGAAGGACGCUUGGGGGCUCUCCCGUACGUGAACAAUAAAAGGUGAAACGUCACUGCAGCUGGGCUAGAUUUCUACAGUCGCUCUCUCGAGUCCGGACUUCCCUACCGCAAUGUGAACGUUAUAGAAAGAAACAAAUAUAGCAAGAAGCCAAACAAGUCCGGUGACGAACCCAAAGGUAGCACAAAACUAGAGAGCUGUUGAACUUGCGUUUACGAGGCUCCUGGCUCCGCUGAUGAUCACAGAUCCAGUGAGAUUAAGGUUAGUAGUUAGAACGAUGUGCGUUAUAUAAUUAUAUCAUAAUUCGCUUUGUUUUGCUUCGAGAAUUCAUCUUCUAGAUAACAACUUAUUCCAGUAACUGAUAGUGCACUUAUCUUCCAAGGAAUUUAGUUCAUCUGCAAGUUUAUGGUACGUAUUUCAGAAUAAAUUCACACCUGUAAAAAGUAGCCCGUUUGAACGUGAAAUAAAUUCUUUACUGUUGUUUUCUUUGGUUAUUUUCCCCUGCUCAGAUAUCUGCGAGGAUCAGGCCUAGUCCGACGACAUCGUGUGUACUGUGAUUAAAGAGAUAAGGAAACCUGCAAACAACUUCAUGUUUACAUUCUCCACGGAAGAGCAAAAUCACAAGCUAAGGAUGCCAAAUGCGCCGGGGUUAUCCGGUUAUCCCGAUGGAAUGUAAAUACCUGGCCUCCGGACACUAAUGAAAUUUCAAAUGCCCCACGUCGGGAUUAAGAUGUGAGCAGAUAAUGGCUAUUGCCCGGAAAGAUGGGUGCUGUUGGAAUUAACUGAUGAAUUUAAGUUCGUGGCCGUUGUAGGGUAGUCCUGGCGAGAAGGCGCCACACUUAAUAUCUGGAACAAACCCAGAGCAUCUUGGAACACGUCGAAAGAUCUCCCACUGACACCCAGAAAAUUCCCGGAACACCGCGAAGUAGCUACGGAACAACCAGUAACGUUAAAAAUACUCGAAUAUAAAUAAAAAAAUAUAUUAAAAUCUUAACAAUAAAAAACUUACUGAUUUAUACGUGCUGAAAUGGAGCAUGGUUCGUCAGCGCUUAGCAUUUUGCCUGAUAAAACCCCGAUAAUGGACAACUCACAAAUCGAGGAAUUGAAAGUGAAGGAUUUCAAAGGUAAACGAUAAUCUCCGAAGUUGUCCGAAGUUAAGCGAACACUUCCAAAACUAAAAGGACGGCUCCAAACGUUUUAAGAAGGGUGCCGAACAUUCUGGAAGCUUCUAGAAAAAAACAGCAAAUUAAAACCCUAUUGAAUUUAUAACGUAGAUUGGGUAAUUUGUUUGUUUUUCUGCAAAAAAAAAAAAGACCGACAUACAUGAUUACGUGAAGGAUAUUAAGUUUCUAUUAAUCCGAGGGUUGAUGUGUCGUCAAGGCAGGGAACCAGGGAUGCAUGUAAAAGUCACUUAAAACACUACAUGCGUGACACCUAAGGGACAAGAUGAUUCCUAGUCGGCACCAGAUCUAGAGGAGCCAUAUUUUACUACUUACUUAUUCUUGCUUUGAACUACUGUUGGUUGAAAGUUUUAUUAUAAGGUUUUUGACCCUAAUGAGAUCCUGAAUUAAAUCCGUCAAAAUUAUUGUUG
rnacentral:lncRNA from 1 species